AUAGAUGUGCUGGAACUGGUAGACAGGGUUGUUUUAGGCACAGCUAGUAAUAUACUGUGUGAGUUCAAGUCUCACCGUCUAUA
rfam:Triticum urartu cultivar G1812 contig801657, whole genome shotgun sequence.